UACGUAGGUGGCAAGCGUUAUCCGGAAUUAUUGGGCGUAAAGCGCGCGUAGGCGGUUUUUUAAGUCUGAUGUGAAAGCCCACGGCUCAACCGUGGAGGGUCAUUGGAAACUGGAAAACUUGAGUGCAGAAGAGGAAAGUGGAAUUCCAUGUGUAGCGGUGAAAUGCGCAGAGAUAUGGAGGAACACCAGUGGCGAAGGCGACUUUCUGGUCUGUAACUGACGCUGAUGUGCAAAAGCGUGGGGAUCAAACAGGAUUAGAUAC
rnacentral:rRNA from 1 species